rnacentral:rRNA from 1 species
UUUACUGACGCUAAAGCUCGAAAGUGCGGGUAUCGAACAGGAUUAGAUACCCUGGUAGUCCGCACGGUAAACGAUGGAUGCCCGCUGUUGGCGAUACACGGUCAGCGGCCAAGCGAAAGCGUUAAGCAUCCCACCUGGGGAGUACGCCGGCAACGGUGAAACUCAAAGGAAUUGACGGGGGCCCGCACAAGCGGAGGAACAUGUGGUUUAAUUCGAUGAUACGCGAGGAACCUUACCCGGGCUUGAACUGCAGCAGAACGAUAGAGAGAUCUUGAGGCCCUUCGGGGCUGCUGUGGAGGUGCUGCAUGGUUGUCGUCAGCUCGUGCCGUGAGGUGUCGGCUUAAGUGCCAUAACGAGCGCAACCCCUUUCCUCAGUUGCCAUCAGGUUAUGCUGGGCACUCUGGAGACACUGCCGCCGUAAGGUGUGAGGAAGGUGGGGAUGACGUCAAAUCAGCACGGCCCUUACGUCCGGGGCUACACACGUGUUACAAUGGGUGAUACAGAGAGUCAGUGCAUGGCAAUAUGCAUUCAAUCAAUAAAGUCAUCCUCAGUUCGGAUUGGGGUCUGCAACCCGACCCCAUGAAGCUGGAUUCGCUAGUA